rnacentral:lncRNA from 1 species
GCAAGGCCCAGCCUGGGGCAGAAAUGGCUGCAAGUGGCCGAGGUCUCUGCAAGGCUGUGGCCGCCUCUCCCUUCCCGGCGUGGAGACGAGAUAACACGGAAGCCAGGGGAGGUCUGAAGCCUGAGUAUGAUGCGGUGGUGAUAGGAGCAGGCAGGCACCUGGGAUUCCGGUGCUGGCUCUGCUGUGUGGCCUGGGGCAAAUGCUUGCCUUCUCUGGGCUUGGAUCUUCCCAUGGAGAAUGACAGGAAGACUAGGUGAGCUCAGGGGUUUCCCUAUAUCUCUUGCAAAGUGACCUAGUUUCCACCACAUUCUCAGCCUAUGGUUUGUAAGGGUUGGAAAGAGCCCUGGGCCAACAGACAAGUGAAAUCCAGCACCCCGCCCCCUCAGUGCCCUGAGUUCUGGUCACCACUACCUUACCACUGAGGCCACCCCUCGUCACAAGAAACUGCAGUCAUUUCAUAAAGGCCAGUUAGGAUAAAACAGAACUGAGUCCCAGAGUUCCUACUGCGUGUCUGCAGAGGGAGAUGGACCCCAUUGCCUUGCAGCUCUGGGACAUUUGGGGAUCUGCAGUGAUCUGCCACACUUUGCCAACCCCUGGGCUCAGAGUAUCACAGUCUACUGGGUGCUAGGGGAAGAGGCAGGCCCAGGACCAGGUGGUCUUUCCUUAGUGCCUUCCUUUCACACUUGCAGAGGGCCCCAAAUGCAUGAUUGCCAACUGGGUCUAUACAGAGAUAAUGACGGGACCGAAAGCAGACGGCACUCAACAUGCAGCUUUGAGGGCAUGCCUUCAUUUUCAUAUGUACUAGAGCAGUUGCGAGC